rnacentral:rRNA from 1 species
UGGGGAAUAUUGGGCAAUGGGCGAAAGCCUGACCCAGUGACGCCGCGUGGGUGAUGAAGGCCUUCGGGUUGUAAAGCCCUUUCGUGCGGAAAGAACAGCCUCGUAGCGAAUAACUGCGAGGUUUGACGGUACCGCAGGAAGAAGCACCGGCUAACUCCGUGCCAGCAGCCGCGGUAAUACGGAGGGUGCAAGCGUUGUUCGGAAUUAUUGGGCGUAAAGGGCGCGUAGGCGGUUGUGUAAGUCAGAUGUGAAAUACUCCGGCUCAACCGGAGAACUGCAGUUGAAACUGUGCAGCUAGAGUACAGGAGAGGGAAAUGGAAUUCCCGGUGUAGAGGUGAAAUUCGUAGAGAUCGGGAGGAACACCAGUGGCGAAGGCGAUUUCCUGGCCUGAUACUGACGCUGAGGCGCGAAAGCGUGGGGAGCAAACA